GUACCUGUCUACCAAGGUGAAGACGGGUAACCGAGGAUAAGGGUUCGGCUCGGAGAAGGGGGGGGAAAAAUGGCCACUACGUCUAACGAUGGCAGCAGGCGCGCAAAUUACCCACUCUCAACAUGAGAGGUAGUGACGAGAAAUAACGAGACCGAUCUCUUAUGAGGCCGGUCAUCGGAAUGGGUACAAUUUAAACCCUUUAACGAGUAUCUAUGAGAGGGCAAGUCUGGUGCCAGCAGCCGCGGUAAUUCCAGCUCUCAAAAUGCAUAGAAUAAUUGCUGCGGUUAAAAAGUUCGUAGUACGAUCUCCUCCAGCUGGCCGUUCCACCCACUGGUGUGCACUGGUUCGGUGGCUUUUCUGCCGGUCUUUCCCCGGCGUUGGCCUUCACCGGUCGGCGUCGGUGGGCUGGCGAGUUUACUUUGAACAAAUCAGAGUGCUUCAAACAGGCGUUUCGCUUGAAUGUUCGUGCAUGGAAUAAUAGAAGAGGAUUUCGGUCCGAUUUUAUUGGUUUUGCUGACCGAGAUAAUGGUUAACAGAGACAAACGGGGCCAUUCGUAUUGCUACGUGAGAGGUGAAAUUCUUGGACCGUAGCAAGACGGACUACAGCGAAAGCAUUUGGCAAGAAUGUCUUCA
rnacentral:rRNA from 1 species